UUUCGCAAUGCCCGAAAGGGUGACGAAGCGACGCCGCGUGCGGGAAGAAGGCCUUCGGGUUGUAAACCGCUGUCGGGAGUUAAGAAAUGUAAGGAUGUUAAUAGCAACUUUGCUUGACUAAGGCUCCGGAGGAAGCUACGGCUAACUCUGUGCCAGCAGCCGCGGUAAUACAGAGGCGGCAAGCGUUGUUCGGAAUUAUUGGGCGUAAAGAGCACGUAGGCGGCUAUGUAAGUCGGUUGUGAAAGCCUUCCGCUCAACGGGAGAACAGCAUCCGAUACUGCAUGGCUUGAGUGCGGGAGGGGAGAGUGGAACUUCUGGUGGAGCGGUGAAAUGCGUAGAUAUCAGAAGGAACGCCGGCGGCGAAAGCGGCUCUCUGGCCCAUAACUGACGCUGAGUGUGCGAAAGCUAGGGGAGCAAACGGGAUUAGAUACCCCGGUAGUCCUAGCCGUAAACGAUGGGCACUAAGUAGAGGGGUUUUA
rnacentral:rRNA from 1 species